rnacentral:lncRNA from 1 species
AUAGUUUGCUUUUGUAAGCGCUUGCCAUUUUCCAACUCUAUGGGAACGUCUGGUGUAUUCCCGCUACAGCUGUCAGCAGGUUAACCAAAUUCCGAUGUUGUUGUACGCUUACCAACAGUCACUCGUUAGUAUAUCUGUCAGGUUAGUAAGCGUACAGAAACUUUGGAAACAUUAGAAGCUCAGUUCUUGAAAUUUGGGUAUCAUUAUCAUUCUCCAGUCCUUCAGGGAUGGAGUGUCACUUAUCUCCUGGCUAUUCCACUAGUCUAUAUGCUCAAAGACCAUAUGCGCUUAGUCAAGUCCUCUUUCACCCUGUCGUCGUCUUUAUGGAGGUCUUCGCCCACGAGAACGGCACCUGAGUAAUGCGUCAGGUCAACGAAGAGUGGGAAGCCAUGCCACGCGUGUUAAUGUGUGCACUUACCACGAUGUCAUCAGUAGCCAUGGAGGACGAGUUCGGGACGUAGUUGCGACGAACGUGGUCGGGACAACCAUCACGAUUCCGGUAGUAGCGUAGCUGAGCCUGUUCUUCUCUAGCGAGGACACCAGCGGCAGAACGAGCUGGCUGCCCACGAACACGAGGAUCGACAGCCAGAUCCUCGCUAG